rnacentral:misc_RNA from 1 species
CCGAGUUUACCAACUCCCAAACCCCUGUGAACAUACCUGAAACGUUGCCUCGGCGGGACCGCCCCGGCGCCCUCUGCGGCCCGGAACCAGGCGCCCGCCGGAGGACCCAAACUCUUGUAUUUCUUACUUUGCAUGUCUGAGUGGAAUCAUAAACAAAUGAAUCA